UGAGGAAUAUUGGUCAAUGGGCGCAAGCCUGAACCAGCCAUCCCGCGUGCAGGAUGACGGCCCUAUGGGUUGUAAACUGCUUUUGUACACCAAGAAAAUACAGGACGUGUCCUGUUCUGACGGUAGUGUAUGAAUAAGCAUCGGCUAACUCCGUG
rnacentral:rRNA from 1 species